rnacentral:ncRNA from 1 species
GUAGAGGUUGCGUCAAUCAUCAGUAUCCGGGGAAAGGGAACGACGCCGAAGGGGGGAUAUUUCCUGGCAGUAGUCCCUUCUGGGUGCAUGGUGAAGAAUCAUGUGACUGUCAUCCUGGUGGAUGGAGAGCUACUGA